AAGUCGUGAGGCGGAGCUAAUCCCUUAAAGCCAUUCUCAGUUCGGAUUGUAGGCUGAAACUCGCCUACAUGAAGCUGGAGUUACUAGUAAUCGCAGAUCAGAAUGCUGCGGUGAAUGCGUUCCCGGGUCUUGUACACACCGCCCGUCACACCACGGAAGUUGGGGGCGCCCGAAGCCACUUAGCUAACCCUUUGGGAAGCGAGUGUCGAAGGUGAAAUCAAUAACUGGGGUGAAGUCGUAACAAGGUACC
rnacentral:rRNA from 1 species